GGCCAAAUCGUCAUUAGUGCACCGUUUAGAAAACAAAGAAAAAAAAAGGCCAAGAGGCAAGACAAAGAAAACAAAGGCCUAGUGUGACGGUGUUUGGCCUAAUUGUUCAGCAAACCUACCAACCCUGAUCUUGUACAGGGUGUCCCCCAAAAAAGUGACACUAUAGAAAUUAUUCUAUUGUUGUUCAGCACAGGAUUUCAUGCGCCUGGUAAUUAAAAAUUCAAUUCAAUUGUUUUUACGCACUCAUGUGUUCAGCAUAGUGCUCAGGCAUUCAAAUGGCCGUAACACAAAAAUCGGAUAAUUUUUAUAGUGUCACUUUUUUGGGGACACCCUGUAGAUGGAAAUGAUCGAGUACAAUGUUUUAAAUUGCUUCAAAAACGAUCGAUCUAGUAAGUUCAUUGGCGAAGUACUGACUUUCAAAAAAUGCGUUGUGUAAGUCGAGAAAAUUAAAGUUUAUGCAAAUCAAGGGAAAUCUCUAUCACAUGCAUAUAAAGAUACGACACGCUUAUGAUUUUUCUCUGUGUUUCCUCAUGAAUUAUUAACGAUUUUUGAAUACUGUUUAUUAAUCACGCGUUUGAUUUCAGACCAAAUUGUACUCCACUCAGUGCAAUUACCAUUAUUUAUUAGACUCAUUGGUGAAGUAAUUUUAAAAAUAAACAUUGUCUAAGCCGAG